rnacentral:lncRNA from 1 species
AUCUUUCACCUGCCAAGAAAAGCUCUGCUUCCACACCAAAGCAGGACCUCGAGUUUCAAACUGAGGGGAUGACAGUCAGCAGCUUCCACCAAGACAAACCUGUGUCUGCUUUGCAGGAGCUUGUCAAGAAUCCUGGUGACUAAGGACUGGUUUGAAAAUAACCGGUAUUGUCCACGGGCUGAUCAUAGGAGUUGGUCUUUGAAUUUCACUCUUGUGGCCCAGGCUGGAGUGCAAUGGCGUGAUCUCAGCUCACUGCAACUUCUACCUCUCGGAUUCAAGUGAUUCUCCUGCCUCAGCCUCCCAGGUAGCUGGGUUUACAGGAAUGAAAUGGACGUUCUUACUCAUCAUACCAUAAGCAUCCAGGUGAAUGAUUGCUCACUUCUUUCAUCUAAUGAGGAAUUGGCUUUCUUGAGAAUCUCAAUGCAGUGUACCUCCAACCUUAACAGACUGCUGUAAAACACCCUGACCAUUCUUUAGUAUAAGCACUGAAGAAGACAGUAUGUUGACCACGAGGCACCUGGCCUGGCUCAUAGUAUGCCAUCAAGAAAUGCUAAUUUUCUAUUUCCUCUUUUUCAAAGAGUUAUUUCAAGAAAGAAAGGAGAGGAGAGGAUGUUACAAAUUCCA